ensembl:misc_RNA
AUCUAAGUGCCUGGAGACUUUGGUCCUCUAUUUCUCCAUAGAACAGGUACAGCGCUAGGAGCUGUCAUACAGCCAGCCCUGCAAUCCCAAUAGCACGUCUCUGUUCUGCUCUGGAGAAAUCACUUGUAGGGGUGAGACUAGUUCAGUUUCCAUUUCCAUCCAAUCCUUGGCUGCA